rnacentral:rRNA from 1 species
GAUGAACGCUGGCGGCGUGCCUAAUACAUGCAAGUCGAGCGAACAGACGAGGAGCUUGCUCCUCUGACGUUAGCGGCGGACGGGUGAGUAACACGUGGAUAACCUACCUAUAAGACUGGGAUAACUUCGGGAAACCGGAGCUAAUACCGGAUAAUAUAUUGAACCGCAUGGUUCAAUAGUGAAAGACGGUUUUGCUGUCACUUAUAGAUGGAUCCGCGCCGCAUUAGCUAGUUGGUAAGGUAACGGCUUACCAAGGCAACGAUGCGUAGCCGACCUGAGAGGGUGAUCGGCCACACGGGAACUGAGACACGGUCCAGACACCUACGGGAGGCAGCAGUAGGGAAUCUUCCGCAAUGGGCGAAAGCCUGACGGAGCAACGCCGCGUGGGUGAGGAAGGUCUUCGGAUCGUAAAACUCUGUUAUUAGGGAGAAACAAAUGUGUAAGUAACGAUGCACGUCUUGACGGUACCUAAUCAGAAAGCCACGGCUAACUACGU